rnacentral:rRNA from 1 species
CCUACGGGAGGCAGCAGUGGGGAAUUUUCCGCAAUGGGCGAAAGCCUGACGGAGCAAUACCGCGUGAGGGAGGAAGGCUCUUGGGUCGUAAACCUCUUUUCUCAAGGAAGAAGAAAGUGACGGUACUUGAGGAAUAAGCAUCGGCUAACUCCGUGCCAGCAGCCGCGGUAAUAC